rnacentral:rRNA from 1 species
GACGAACGCUGGCGGCGUGCUUAACACAUGCAAGUCGAACGAAGUGGCGAACGGGUGAGUAACGCGUAAUCAACCUGCCCUUCAGAGGGGGACAACAGUUGGAAACGACUGCUAAUACGGCAUACGGAAGGAGGAGAUUGCGUCGGAUUAGCUAGUUGGGGGGGUAACGGCCCACCAAGGCGAUGAUCAGUAGCCUGUCUGGGGAGAUGAACGGCCACAUUGGGACUGAGGCCAGGGCCAGACUCCUACGGGAGGCAGCAGUUGGGAAUCUUCCGCAAUGGACGAAAGUCCGACGGAGCAACGCCGCGGGAGUGAUGACGGCCUUCGGGUUGGAAAGCUCUGUUAAUCGGGACGCGGUACCGGAAUAGAAAGCCACGGCUAACUACGUGCCAGCAGCCGCGGUAAUAC